CCUACGGGAGGCAGCAGUGGGGAAUAUUGCACAAUGGGGGAAACCCUGAUGCAGCGACGCCGCGUGAGUGAAGAAGUAAUUCGUUAUGUAAAGCUCUAUCAGCAGGGAAGAACAUGACGGUACCUGAGUAAGCAGCCCCGGCUAACUACGUGCCAGCAGCCGCGGUAAUACGUAGGGGGCAAGCGUUAUCCGGAUUUACUGGGUGGAAAGGGAGCGUAGACGGCAGUGCAAGUCUGGAGUGAAAGGCGGGGGCUAAACCCCCGGUCUGCUCUGGAAACUGUACGGCUGGAGUGCAGGAGAGGUAAGUGGAAUUCCUAGUGUAGCGGUGAAAUGCGUAGAGAUUAGGAGGAACACCAGUGGCGAAGGCGGCUUACUGGACUGUAACUGACGUUGAGGCUCGAAAGCGUGGGGAGCAAACAGGAUUAGAUACCCGAGUAGUC
rnacentral:rRNA from 1 species